AGACCCGAAACCCGGUGAUCUAGCCAUGGGCAGGUUGAAGGUUGGGUAACACUAACUGGAGGACCGAACCGACUAAUGUUGAAAAAUUAGCGGAUGACCUGUGGCUGGGGGUGAAAGGCCAAUCAAACCGGGAGAUAGCUGGUUCUCCCCGAAAGCUAUUUAGGUAGCGCCUCGUGAAUUCAUCUCCGGGGGUAGAGCACUGUUUCGGCUAGGGGGCCAUCCCGGCUUACCAACCCGAUGCAAACUGCGAAUACCGGAGAAUGUUAUCACGGGAGACACACGGCGGGUGCUAACGUCCGUCGUGAAGAGGGAAACAACCCAGACCGCCAGCUAAGGUCCCAAAGUCAUGGUUAAGUGGGAAACGAUGUGGGAAGGCCCAGACAGCCAGGAUGUUGGCUUAGAAGCAGCCAUCAUUUAAAGAAAGCGUAAUAGCUCACUGGUCGAGUCGGCCUGCGCGGAAGAUGUAACGGGGCUAAACCAUGCACCGAAGCUGCGGCAGCGAACGUAUCACUUAAAGCGAUUCAGCGGGUUACGAUUGACGGAGCGAAGCGACGUCAAAGCGUAUACAAAGUCGAGUCGGUUUAAG
rnacentral:rRNA from 3 species